rnacentral:rRNA from 1 species
AGUGAACGCUGGCGGUAGGCCUAACACAUGCAAGUCGAACGGCAGCACAGUAAGAGCUUGCUCUUACGGGUGGCGAGUGGCGGACGGGUGAGGAAUACAUCGGAAUCUACUUUUUCGUGGGGGAUAACGUAGGGAAACUUACGCUAAUACCGCAUACGACCUACGGGUGAAAGCAGGGGAUCUUCGGACCUUGCGCGAUUGAAUGAGCCGAUGUCGGAUUAGCUAGUUGGCGGGGUAAAGGCCCACCAAGGCGACGAUCCGUAGCUGGUCUGAGAGGAUGAUCCGCCCACACGGAACCGAGGACACGGCCCGAACCCUUACGGGGGGCGGCGUGGGGAAAAUUGGACCAAUGGGGGCAGCCUGGAUCCAGCCAAACGGGUGGGUGGAAGAAGCCCUCCGGUUGGUAAGCCCUUUUGGUGGGAAAAAAAAGGCAGCGGUUAAAAACCCGGCGUUUCGGAGGUAACCAAAGAAAAAAGCACGGGCAAACUCGUG